GCCCGUGCUAGUCUCCUCCUCCCCCGCUAUCCCAAAACGAGCGCCGCCGGAGUCCAAAUUUCCCCCCUUCUCAAGCCGAUCUCCUCGCGCCCUCUCCCUCCCACCCUAGAUCAGCGCCUCGGCCUGCACGCAACCGCGGAACCCUCACUGCACGAACCAGCCACAACGCCCCUGGCCUUCUUCCCCCGACUUGAUGAACCCUAGCCAAUGCCCUGCCGUCUCCCGUUGGCGCCGCCCGCCGCCACCGUCUGCCGUCGCCCGUCGGCGCCGCUCGCCGCCAUCCCCUGCCGUCGCCCGUCAACUCCGUCCGGCAGCGCCCCCUGGCUCCCCCUUUCCAGUCUUCACUCCGGCUGCUGCCCUGUCCGGUGGGGGCGCGAGGCGUCGACCCCAGCUAGGGCGCGAGGCUGCAGGUUGCCCGGCGUCCUGCGAGAAUGACAUAUUGUCUUGAACAUCCUACAAUGAAGGUGCUCCUAAUGCCUGUAGAACCUAAUAAAUAAUGCUAUGUCUGCUCUAAGACCCCUCUUCUGCUAGAUGUUAACACCAAGGCCAUGAAGCUUAGGGAGGUUCUCGACAAGAUUAUAAAAAAGCAAACUUGGAAUGAACCUACAGUUGGUAAUGAUUGGCUCGACGCCUUGAGAAGGGAAGAGUUUGACGAGGACUCGAGGAGAAAGAGCAUGACGGAACGGUUUUAUCUGGAUGGUCUGCUCUGGUGGAGAAGCAGAUUAACAGUAAUGGGGUAGUAAAUAAAUAAAGUACUUUCCUUGUUGCCGGAUUUAACUGAUUUUGCGCAGAGGAAUUGAUGUCAUUAAUUGUUUCAGCGUAGAGAUGUUGUCUAUUUGUGCAAAAUGCUACCAUGGCUGUAAAAAAACAGAGCGAUAUUGCUGCAAAAGCAUUAUAAUAUUCUUGUACCAAAAAGAAAACCGGCAGAGGAGAAACCACUGCAGAGAAGGGAGAGCAAGUCCAAUAUCAUCUCCAGGACUAAGCAAAGAACUACUCCCAUCUCUGAAACCAGAUGAUCUCCACAACUGUGUUAAUUCUAGAACUAUGUAAAAUUCAUUCUGUAACAUCCAGCAACUAUGUAAAAUUCAUUCUGUAUUGUGUAAGAUCUAGCAACUAUGUAAAGUUCCAUUCUGUAACAUCCAUUCUGUGUAAUAAUUCAAGACCCCAUUCUGUAUCAUCCAACGGCUACUUAGCUAGCCAGUGAGCUAUCAUUUUCCUAGUAAAACUGGGUUGUUACUCUUCAACU